UGCCCCUUUCCCCUCCCUCCCUCCCUCCCUCCCUCCCCGCCGCCUCGGUCUUGCUCCGUGGAAAAGCAAAGCCAAGCCGGGCUGGGGCUCCUCCGUGCUCCCCGUGGAGGUGCUGCCGCUGCCGCCGCUGCCUCUGGCCGCGCGGUCCCAGUCUGGCUCAGGGCAGAGCUGUCUCUGAGUCCCAGGGCGGGCGGCUCCGCGGUGCCCCUCUCCCUCUGGACGUGUGUGUGUGUCUCUCUCUCCCUCCGUGUGUGUGCAGCAGCAAGCAGCAGCUCCUUGAUUCAAUAGAUGAGAUGAAGAAGAAAAAAAGAACUCUCUCCAUUUGGAUAAAGAGGAGGAGGGGUGAAGGGGGGGGAGAGGAGAGAGAGGGGAAAGAAGGAGAAAAAAAAAAAAGCCCUCAAAUCCCGCCCCUGGGGCUGUCAGAUGGCUGGGCUUUCUGGGACGCGAUUGGCUCAGGGAGGGCAGAAAUUACUCAGCAAACAUGACUAUUAUUAGCUGCUUAGCAACAGCUCACCAAAGUAGAGAGACCACCCAGGCAGGCAACCCUUGUGUGUGCAUCUCCAGCUUCAGGGGGAGCCUUAAAGAGAUCCAGCCUUCUUUGCAUGCAAUACUUCCAUUAAGGAAUGCCUCUCCCCCCGCACCCCCUCCCCACCUUUUCUUCUUCAUUUUCUUUUCAACAACGGUUUCUUCUUUUUCUUUUUUUUUCUUUUUUUUUUUACGAGAUGCUUUUAGACAAACACGCGCGCAAGCCUUUACUGCACAUCCACCUUCAAAAAUAUAUUUUGCUUUUUUUUUAAAAAAAAAGAAGAAAAAGAAACCCACGGAACGAUUUCUAAAGCCUUUAAAAGAAAAUCCUUUUAGAGGCACCUUGGCCUCAAGCUGCAACAAAUACUGGGAGGUCCGAGCUGAAUUCCCAGGCUUGCACAAAUAAUGACAGGGUGGUGGAUACUGCGAGGGAAAGUGCCAAUUUUUUUUUUUCCUCUCUCUCUCUCUCUCCCUCCCUCCCUCUCUCUUUUCUCCUUUUAACUAAAGAGGAGACAGAUCCUUGCAAGAAAGGACCAGUGAGGGUGGGGGCAAAUAAUAAUUAAUAAUAAUAAUGAUGAUGAUGGUAAUGAUGAUAACAACACACCAUGGAAAUUUAACACCCAGAAGAAGGGAUGUAAAGCCGGGCAAGGAGCCCGCGCGGUUUAACUGAGCGUGGGGGUCCCGAGCCUCACUCUGCAGCAAAGUCCGCUUAAUACCUCGCCCCCCCCCCCCCCGCCACAAUUUUUUUUCAAUGUCAAGUUCAGUCCCCAGAGGCUUUUCACGCUCCGCGUGAAUCGCCAGCUUGUUUCGGGGCUAUUUUUAUUUGUUGGCACCCCAAAAAUCAAUGAGUUGCUUUUAAAUAGAUACUUAAAAAUCAAUGCAUUGAUUUUGGGGAGGGGGGAAGGAGAUGCCCGUGUAGGGAGAUGCUCCCCAUCGGAAACGCUUUUAGGGGUGCAAGGGGGGGCUGUGCCUCUGUACAGGUUGCAGGAGGCGCUGUCACCCCGGAGGUGGCUUUUGCACCGCAUUGCCCCCCCCAUCUGCAUGCAUUUCAGGGACUCCCCCUCGUGCUUCUGCACCCCACCCCCCAGCCUGUACCACUGGGAUGAGGGGGGCAGGUCCCACUCGGGGCCGUGUCCCUUUAAGGGGCGCGCGGUGUGUGUUCAUUGAAAAAAAAAAAGAACGCGCGGGGGGCGGGGCCCAGCGGCGUCACGUGACACACGGGCGCCUGGGCCGGACUCCUCAAGUGCGCGGCGGGUUCGGCCGGGCCCUGAGGGUUCGGAUUCUGAAAGGGGGGUGGAGAUGAGAUGAAUUACUGCGAGGAUCUAAUUGGCCUUGUUUCUGCCGCGCUUUAAAAAAAAAUGGAGGAGGAGGAGGAAGAAGUGUCAGAGUAAAAGUCUGUCUCGACUUGGGUGGUCAGGAGCGGUGGCUGCCCCCAAUUUGCCUCAUUGCUGAUGCAUGCGAGUGCUGCAUUCCCAGCGAUAAUGUUGUUCCUAAUCAAUCUGCCCUUAUUUACAUUUGUAAGCAUUGUUGGCUUUAAUAUGCAUGCCCUGCGCAUGUCACCGCGGCUCCGCACCCGGGGCUCUCCCCCUCUCCUUUCUUUACCCUAAACUUCAAGGAUCCCACAGAUCGGAGUGGUGAUAACACGCCCGGCUCCUCGCCUGCAGGAGGCCUUCCGAGGUGGCACCUCCCGCCGGCACUGCUCUGCCUUCCCCCGGCCCGGCUCGCUCCCCCCGGGUGGGCAGGGCCCGCCCAGUUGGCCCCUCCGGGUGCCUGGCACCAAGGACCCGCCUUCCUAUAUGCCCCCCUGGCAUCCCGGAGCAGGAGCCUUGCAAGGGACAUCGAGAGGUCACAUCUAGUCCAACCCCCUGCUCGGAGCAGGACCAUCCCCAGCUGGAUCAUCCCCAGCCAAGGCUUUGUCCGCCCGGCACAGAUGCCCGGCAGAGGAGUUCAGCCCCGAGGGGUAGGGGCUGGGAGGUUGCUGAUGGCUUCACGGCGACUCUUGCAGCGUGUUAGGGGGCUUCCCCCCCACCCCCCAUCACUGCUCUGCCUGUAGCAUCCGGUUACAUGAAUAAAGGAAGGACAUUGAAAGAAAA